rnacentral:rRNA from 1 species
GACGAACGCUGGCGGCGUGCUUAACACAUGCAAGUCGAACGGAAAGGCCCUGCUUUUGUGGGGUGCUCGAGUGGCGAACGGGUGAGUAACACGUGAGUAACCUGCCCUUGACUUUGGGAUAACUUCAGGAAACUGGGGCUAAUACCGGAUAGGAGCUCCUGCUGCAUGGUGGGGGUUGGAAAGUUUCGGCGGUUGGGGGUGGACUCGCGGCUUAUCAGCUUGUUGGUGGGGUAGUGGCUUACCAAGGCUUUGACGGGUAGCCGGCCUGAGAGGGUGACCGGCCACAUUGGGACUGAGCUACGGCCCAGACUCCUACGGGAGGCAGCAGUGGAGUAUAUUGCACAAUGGGCGGAAGCCUGAUGCAGCAACGCCGCGUGCGGGAUGACGGCCUUCGGGUUGUAAACCGCUUUCGCCUGUGACGAAGCGUGAGUGACGGUAAUGGGUAAAGAAGCACCGGCUAACUACGUG